rnacentral:lncRNA from 1 species
GGUCAGACAAGCAGCACUUUUCAAUAAUUGAUGAUGCUGAGUUUCUAAGUAAAACCAAAAAUGACAGAUGAGUUAACAGAAGACAAGAGCAUAAAAGUCUGUCCAGUUUCUUUCCUCUGCAGACUAAAGAGAAAUGAGUGAUUAAAGUCCAAGCUUGGGAACUGUAGCACUAAGGUUACAGCUCAGAUUCCAUUAAAAGAAAAGAAAAGAAAAGAAAAGAAAAGAAAAGAAAAGAAAAGAAAAGAAAAGAAAAGAAAAGAAGAAAGAAAGAAAGAAAGAAAGAAAGAAAGAAAGAAAGAAAGAAAGAAAAGAAGAAAGAAAGAAAGAAAGAAAGAAAGAAAGAAAGAAAGAAAGAAAGAAAGAAAGAAAGAAAGAAAGAAAGAAAGAAAGAAUCUUGCACGGCAAGAGAAAGAGGAAAACUGUUUCUCAACAUGGAGGAAGAAGGAAGCAUAUCAGCNUCUGCAGUUGCCCUGCGAGUGUCUUCUUGGAGCUUACUGCUGCUAUCCCAGAAAACUUAGAAGACGAAAAGAAGAAGAAAAGAAGAAAUGUUGUUUGUUCUUGUCAUNCUAUCUAUAUUGUUGUACAUAGACUCAAAUAAAUGCACUCAUAUAUCUGCUACUUCA